rnacentral:misc_RNA from 1 species
AUUUGACCCCACUGAGUUCAAGGAUUCAAAUUCAGAGUUACCAGUGCCGAGUUUAGUAAGCCCAUUUCCUGCUAGGGUUAUGCCUUCUGCGAUGUUGAGCAAAGUGUGGCUUCCUCCUUUACUUUGCAACGCAAGAAGGUUUGGAGAAGCUAAGGGUAUUAUAGUAAAUACGUUUUUGGAGUUGGAAUCCCAUGCUAUAGAAUCUUUUAAAACGCUUCCCGUGUACCCCGUGGGACCCAUUUUGAAUGUGGAGUCGAAUGGAAGAAACACGCACCAGCAAAUCAUGCAAUGGCUUGAUGAUCAGCCUGUUGCAUCAGUAGUGUUCUUGUGCUUUGGAAGCAUGGGAAGU